CGCCACCUUCCCGGGGAGCGGCCACCAAGCGAGAAGCCGCGCGCUGCUCCCCUCGCGAGUAGUGUCCUGCGCCGCGGCUGCCCGCACUCGGGGCUCUCAGUGCCGCCCGCUCACCUGUGCCCCGCCGCCCACGCCCCACCAUGAACUCGCUCUUCAGGAAGAGAAACAAGGGCAAAUACAGUCCUACGGUGCAGACCCGGAGCAUCUCCAACAAGGAGCUCUCGGAGUUGAUUGAGCAGCUGCAGAAGAAUGCGGACCAGGUGGAGAGGAACAUCGUGGACACUGAGGCCAAGAUGCAGAGUGACGUGACUCGGCUGCAGGGAGGCCAGCAGCCCGAGCACCGGGAUGUGGCCUUACAGAAGGUUUCAGACUCUGAGAAGCUGCUGUACGUCCUGGAGGCAGACUCGGCCAUCACCAAGCACAUGAAGCACCCGCAGGGGGACAUGAUUGCAGAGGACAUCCGCCAGCUGAAGGAGCGUGUGGCCAAUCUCCGCGGGAAACAUAAGCAGGUCUACAGCCUGGUGGUGAAGGAGAUCAGCCCACAGGUCAACUGGGCAGCGCUGGUGGAGGAGAAGCUGGACAAGCUGAGCAGCCAGAGCUUUGGGACGGACCUGCCACUGGUGGACAGCCAGGUGGAGCAGCACAAUAUCUUCCACAAUGAGGUCAAGGCCAUCGGGCCCCACCUGGCCAAGAAUGGGGAUAAGGUGGGACAUGCGGUAGUGCAUGGGGAAGCCGGGAGGACCCCCCUGCACACUGACCCUGACCUCACCUUUGGCUCUCCCUUCAGGAGCAGGACAGCGAGCUGCAGGCCAAGUACCAGAAACUGCUGGCAGCAUCACAGGCACGGCAGCAGCAUCUGA
rnacentral:lncRNA from 1 species